GACGAACGCUGGCGGCGUGCUUAACACAUGCAAGUCGAACGGAAAGGCCCUGCUUUUGUGGGGUGCUCGAGUGGCGAACGGGUGAGUAACACGUGAGUAACCUGCCCUUGACUUUGGGAUAACUUCAGGAAACUGGGGCUAAUACCGUAUAGGAGCUCCUGCUGCAUGGUAGGGGUUGGAAAGUUUCGGCGGUUGGGGAUGGACUCGCGGCUUAUCAGCUUGUUGGUGGGGUAGUGGCUUACCAAGGCUUGGACGGGUAGCCGGCCUGUGAGGGUGACCGGGGACAUUGGGACUAAGGUACGGACCAGAGUCCUACGGGAGGCAGCAGUGGGGAAUAUUGCACAAUGGGAGGAAGCCUGAUGCAGCAACGCCGCGUGCGGGAUGACGGCCUUCGGGUUGUAAACCGCUUUCGCCUGUGACGACGCGUGAGUGACGGUAAUGGGUAAAGAAGCACCGGCUAACUACGUG
rnacentral:rRNA from 1 species